UGGAGUCCUAACAACUCCAUACUAGCAGACUGGAUAAAAAUUAGGUACAUCAAAGGAAGAAGCAUUGGGGAGAUAGAGUGUAGGCCUACUCUGGACUCUCACAUGUGGAAAACUAUACUAGCUAAUAAGGAAACAAUAAGGAAAUGUAUAAACUGCUUGAGUAACUAUAGGGUCACACAAAUUGCCCCCUCCAAACACUCAGAAACAUUAAGGCCCAAAGGCAUCUUACAAGAGAUAAAUCUAGGGAUCUGGGCCAAAAAGCCUCCUAAAUUCUCUAUGUUGUUGUGGAGAAUUAAGGUCAAGAGUCUGAACACUUUAACUAGACUGCAAAGCUGGGGACUCAACAUAAAUACGUCCUGUCCACUAUGUGGAGAUAAGGAAGAAACAUUACAACACCUAUACUUUAACUGCCAUUACACUAGAUCCCUAUUGCUAGAGACCACUAGCUGUCUUAAUAAUGCUGUUUGGACACUUAGUGGGCAAAAUCCCCCAUCUCCCACAAUAGAUAUUAGGAUAGGAGAUAUUAUGGAAACAAUACAAAAAUUCAUCCACAAGUCCAGUUGUUGGGGGGUACACUGGACUAUGUUAGCAUCUCUUUCCUAGCACAUAUGGUGUGAAAAGAACAGGAGAUUAAAACAACACACCCUAAGGCCCUCAGAAAUUGUCAGCAGAGAAAUUAUAAAGGAUGUGAGCAUUGCAUAUGAUCCUACAUCCUAUAAGAAGCACAAUCUUUCACAGAUUGAAAUACAAGCUAUAUGCUCAUGGGAGUCCAACCUCUUGAGGCUUCAAUCCUUGGCCAGUUAGUCAGGGUCAUAGCUGCAUAAGAGAUAGACAAUGUUUUUACAUUUAUUGUACUUGCAUUUCCUUAUAUUAUUCUGUAAUCUUGGCUUUGCCCAACCUCUUUUUCAGUAAUGAAAGUUUUAAUUUCUCAAAAAAAAAAAAUGUUGGAUUGUUAUUUUUUUAAAUUUCAGAAAUGUCGGAUGAAGAAUACGACCCUCUAUCAAAUGAAGAACAAGGAGAGGAGAACGUAGUGAAGUGACACUCUUCGUUUUCAGAAGAGACCAUUAAUAGCAAGGUGAACCGACCGAAAUCCAAUGAUCCCGAAUGGAAAUACGGUUUCAUGGAAGAUCGAUCGAAUCAAAACAAUAUUCGAUGUCUUCUAUGUAACUUUCUUUCCAAGGGUGGAAUAGGUCGAUUGAAGGGCCAUUUGACGGGAGGAGACAAAAACUGUAUAAACUGUCUGAAAGCCCCGAGAUUCGUCACUAAAGAAAUUGCUGACUAUGUGGCGAAGAAGAAACUAGCGGCUAAUAAACGCAAGGGCAAACUGCCAUUUUUUCUAGAGGCGAUUGAUAUUGUUGAUUUAGAUGACCCUAGUAAUAACUAAUAAGCGACCAUUGAAGAAGAAGUUGAUGGUCUCAGGUUUUGUUUCAUCGUCUCCAUGCUCCUCCGUACUUGGUCCGUUGAAUCUGAAAAAAUGUGAAACUAUUCAUGACAUCGUCCGGAAGAGGAAGAUGGAGAAACAGAGUUCAGUCGUCGAACUUGCGAAAAACCCGGAUAAGGCACUUGUGGAUAAAAUUUUCUCAGGUUGGAUGUACAAAGUCGCUAUGCCAUUCAACCAAGCCCAGGAUAUUGAAUGUGAAGCGACUUGAGAAGCCAUUGGACGAUAUGGUCCGUCUACCGGCCUCCAAAUAUGCAACAGUUACGAGACUCUCUGUUAGAAGAACAUGUAGGCGACAUUGAUGCGAUGAGAGCCAAACACGAGAUUAAAUGGAAAACCAAUGACUGUACUUUAUUGUCUGAUAUAAGCUUUUUCAGACGUUCAUGCGAUGGCCAUGACCGCAUGGCCGCCUAGGCGCUCGCUUGAAAAUAUGGGUAAUUUUGCAAAAAUUACCCUGAACUUAUACAUAUUUGCCAAAAAAUCCUACAAUUUCAGAAAUAUUUUAAAAAAAUAUACACAUCAAGUUUUAAACCUGAAAUUAGUAAUACAAACUACAAAGUAAUAGACUACUAGUCUAAAUUUUAAAAUGUAAAUGCAUAGUUUAUAAGACUUCUUCAGAAAAUUUAGCCUCUUGUCCAAAUGUUUGAGAUGAUCCUCCUCUACUAUAUUGUCUAGUAGUUGGACCAUCUGUUUCAGUGAUGCCUAUUACAUCUUCAAGAGCUACCCAAGUAAGACCGUCAUCACCAUAAACCCACUCAUUGGCGGGUCCUUCCUCGCCAGUUAUCCAUUCAGAGUUACAGUUUAAGUCUUCCACUGCUAUGGAGUCCAUGUCUUUACAAUCUAACUUGCGUUGCAAUUGUUGUUCAUUCAAUCGCUUGUUGUAGUGAAUGUAGACGAGCUUUCCCAUUCACUCGACCUCAAGACGAGUGCGUCUCUUUGUAUGGAUCUAAAUAACAAUCGAACAAAGUCAAGAAACGUUAUUCAACAAUAAGUCAUUGAACUAAUGAAGUAUUGAACUAAAACUUACGAGACUAAAUGUGCUCCAGUUUCGUUCGCAACUUGAAGCUGUUACACAAAGGCUUAAGAUCCUCUUUGCUAUCACACUAAGGUCACGAGUCCUAAGACCAAAUGAAUUCCACCAAACAACUGUAAAAAAACAUAUCAUGAAUCAUUAAACGAGUAUAAAUGACUUAACCAUGACUCAUGAGUCUUGCAUCGUCAUUCUUACCCGGGUUCAUUGAAUAUGAAGAUUCCACAGCUAAAGGCAUUCCGAAGUGUCCCAACCUAUCCUUGUAUGUCAUUGCGUGGUUCAACAAUUCUAAUUUCUUAUCCUUGUCCGACUCCAUCUUCAUCAAGCAAGUUUGGAAGUCUAAUUCGUAUUCCGAAGCUAGACUUCGUUCGUCACUACAAUGUAAAAGGAAUAAGUCAUUGAAAAUUCAGAUUGAAAAUUAAGAAUAUCAAUUACUUACUCAUCAGCAAAUUCUGAUAGACGAUAGAAAACGUUGGGGUUGAGAAAGGCACCGACACCAAAGAUAGGUUUGCUGAAAUGCUUCUCCCAACGCUUAUCAAAGAUCUUGUCAAUUUGGGUUAGCAAUGACAGAUUCUUGUUUACCAACAUAUCUCUAGUGUGUUUCCUUGCACUCUUCAAGUCAUUCAGAACUCGGCCCAUGCAUGGUUGUUCAUCUUGGUCGACUAUUCUCAUCAACCUCACUAGCGGUUCAGAAAUGGCCAGACACUCAUAUAAGCUCAACUAGAAAGAGUUGUUCCAGAUUAAUUUUUGAACUUCAGUUCCACAAGUCACAUUAGCCUAGGGAGCCAAUCAAUCUUCUUCAAAUUAUCCCUCUGUUCUUUCAGACUCUGUAAUGUGAGAAAAGAAGUUGCGAAUCUUGUGACUCCGCAUCUCACUAACUCUUUCCCACCUGAUGCGGUCAAGAAAAUACUAUGGAGAACGUCAUGGACAUAGAUGUAGGUCGCUAUCUUGCGACCACCAACAAUCAUCUUCUUGUACUUGGCCAGUUUCCCAAUGUCCUCCAAAGUCCAAAAUCAGAUCCAUGCAAUGAGCUACGCGCGGUGUCCAGAAUAAAUGGUCGUAUUUGUUCAUCAAUAUUUCUCCGACACUAACAUAGUUCGCCGCAUUAUCUGUACAUAUCUGUACCACAUUACUCGAACCGAUGACUUGCAUUGCUUGAUCUAAUGUCUUUGCAAUGUAAGAAGUUGUCUUCCGUUCAUGUGUCAUGUCUAUGGAAUACAGAUAAAAAGAUCCUUCGGUCGAAUUCAUCAAGAAGUUGAUGUUUCUUCCUCUAGCGUCCGUCCAUCCAUCAGACAAUAAAGUACAACCAUUUGUUUUCCAUUUAAUCUCGUGUCUGGCUCUCAUCGAAUCAAUGUCACCCACAUGUUCUUCUAGAAGAGACUCUCGCAACUGUCGCAUAUUUGGAGGCCUGUAUGCCGGACCAUAUCGUCCGAUGGCUUCACAAGUCGCUUCACAUUCAAUAUCUUGGGCUUGGUUGAAUGGCAUUGCAACUUUGUACAUCCAAACUAAGAAGAUUUUAUCGACCAUUGCCUUAUCUUCUUUUUUGGCAAGUUCAACGACGGAUUUUUGUUUCUCGAUCUUCCUUUUCCGGACGAUAUCAUGAAUAGUUUCCCCUUUCUUCAGAUGUAACGGACCAAGUUCGGAGGAGGUUGGAGACGAUGAAACGAAACUGGAGACCGUCAACUUCCUCUUCAAUGGUCACUCAUUGUUAGGGUCAUCUAAAUCGACGAUAUCAACCUCUGGAACAAAUGGCAGCUUGCCCUUGCGUUUGCUAGCCGCUAAUUUCUUCUUGGCAACAUAGGCCAUAAUUUCUCUUGAGACAAAUCUAGGAGCAUUCGGACAUUUCACACAGUUUUUGUCUCAUCCCGUCAGAUGACCCUUCAACCGACCUAUUCCACCCUUGGAAAGAAAGUUACAUAGAAGACAUCGAAUAUUGUUUUGAUUCGAUCGAUCUUCCAUGAAACCGUAUUUCCAUCCGGGAUCAUCGGAUUUCGGUCGGUUCGCCUUGCUAUUAAUGAUCUCUUCUGAAAACGAAGAGUGCCACUUGACUACCUCCUCCUCUACUUGUUCUUCAUUUGAUGGAGGAACGUAUUCUUCAUCAUCCGACAUUUCUGAAUUUUUUUAAAAUAAAUACAAGCCAACAAUCUAAGUUAGAUUUUAGGUAUGUAAAUUGUAAAAUAAAUUUACGAUUUUAAUUUUAGAUUUUUUCCUUCAAAAUCUAAUGUCAAAUUGCCUCCCGGAGUGAUUUUAAUGUGGCUGGACAAAGAGGAAUUAAUUGCUGUCCGAAGUGUUCUUUAAAAGCUCGCCGGACUUUUCUUUAAGAGCUCGCCGGAUUGUUCUUUAAGAGCCUGCCGGAGUGCGAUUUAUGGCUGUCCGGAGUGAGAUAUAGGUCUGGAUAGAUAGGGGGCACAUAGGAAAAAUAGGGAAAAAAAUUUGGGCCAAAAAUUACCUAGGUCGACGAUGUCCGGAGCUGCCUGGAGGUCGCCGGAGCACGCCUGGAGGUCGCUGGAGUCUUCCCUUGUGGUGACCGGAGUCUCCCUUGAAGAUGGCCGAAGAAAAUGGGUGGGGAGAUGAUUUGAAAAUCUAGGGUUUAGGGUUCAAAGGUGGGAGGGAAGGGAAGAAAAGGGGAAGAAAGAAGAAAGAAAAGAGGAAUUAGGGUUUUUAAAAUCCUUACCCUCUUAUUUAAAUGGGCCUUAAAUGGGCUAUUGGGUUAGGUCGACGAUGGCCGGAGCUCGCCCUGCAGGUCGCUGGAGGUUGCUUGCUGGUCGCCGGAGGGUCCCUAGUAGGUGGUUGGAGGUUUCCUAGUAGAUGUCCGGAGAAAAUGGGUGGAGGAGAUGGGCUGGAAAUUUAGGGUUUGGGGUUCAAAUGUGGGAGAGAACGGAAGAAAAGAGAAGAAAUAAGGAAAGAAAUAAGAGUUAGGGUUUUUUAAACCCUUACCCUCUAUUUAACUUAAGUUAAAUGGGCUUUUGGGUUAGGCAGAUCCGGCCCGGAUCCGGCCCGGAUCCGCCUAACUCGCUCCAACGCAUAAAGGCAAACGCCUAUAGGCGUCGCAUGAAAAAGCAUUGGGGUGAUAGAUUUCUUUGCUACAAAUGCCACCCAAUGGUUAAAAGAGCAGAGAAAUGCUUGAACUCAAACAACUCCAUUCUUGCAGAAUGGAUAAAAGCUAGAUACAUUAAGGGGAUAAGUCUAGUAGGAAGUGAUAGAGACUAUAGAGUGUAAACCCACUAUAGACUCUCAUAUGUGUAAAAUAAUUUUGGCAAACAAAGGCAUAAUAGGGUCUUUAUAGAAUGCUUAAACAAUUGUAGAACAACCCAAAUAUCCACCUCCAAACACUCAGAAA
rnacentral:lncRNA from 1 species